UUUCAUUGCUUCAAAAAGGGCUACCAACCUUCCAUAUUUGAUCUGUCUUCAAUUCCUACCUGCCACCUUUCAUCCCAGCUGUGAAUUCAAUUCGGUUCUCUUCGACAUUUAGCUAAGGACUGAAGCUAUAUAUACAUUUCACAAGUUCAAUUCGUCUCAGCUUUCUGGCAAUCUUUCUCGCUUGACCCCUGCUAAGUUGGCCAAUGAGAGCGGUCUAUUGAACUUCUCGGUUUGUGCCGAUCAGCUAAGCUAAGUAGUGGUUGCACGUUUCCCUAAUCAUUUGAAAAUUCUAUGUAUAUUUUUUGCCUGCAUGCAAGGCCGGUGCUUUGAAGUAAAGUCCAUAUUUAGCAUAAUGCAUAUGUUUUUGCUGCAUUCACCAUACUUGCAACUUUAAUUCUAGGCUGAUAUAUCCUAUCUAACCUGUAUAUAUUGUUCUUGAAAUGAAGAGGCAUAGCUUCUUUAAUAAUGUCAAGAAGAUUAUUUGUAUUUUGUACCUGCAUCACACUAUAUAUAACCGAGUUUUCGAGAUUAUUUUAUGAU